rnacentral:tRNA from 1 species
GAGGGUAUAGCUCAGUGACAGAGUGCAUGCUUAGCAUGCACAAAGUUCUGGGUUCAAUCCCCAGUAUUUCCU